CUGGAAAUUGGUUGGCCUCUCGCGCACUCAGCUGAGGCAACAAAGAGUUGCGAGGACUCUCUGAACGGCUUGGUCCGCUUGAGGUAGAAAGCCAGAGCCUGCCUCACAUUGAGCAUGUGGAGACAGGGCUCCUCACUAGUCAUGUGAGGCUUGGGGCAGAGGACUGGUAGAAAAAUGUCCUCACCCAUGUGGUAGGCGGAGACCACCUUCAGGAGGAACGCAGGGUGUGGGCGGAGCUGGACCUUGUCCUUACGAAAGACCGUAUACGACGGCUCAGAGGUCAGGGCCCUGAGCUCCGAGACCCACCUGGCCAACAUGAUAGCAACCAGGAAGGCCACCUUCCACGAGAGGCCCAGGGCGGUGCGUGUGGACAGGAGGAGUGCCACAUGAUCCCUCACCUGCGAUCAGGAGGUGCCAUUGACCAGCCAGUCGUCCAGAUAGGAGAAUAUAUGGACCCCCGCGGCACCUGAGCAAACAGAGUCUUCCUGUCGAAAGGGAGAUCCUGCAUUGACAACUGCGCUUCGCUGGAUAGCCCAGAGACCAGGAGCCAUGAUGCCCGUCUCAUGGACACCACCAAGGCCAUGGACCGUGCAGCCGUGUCUGCUGCAUCUGAAGCAGCCUGCAGGGAUGCCUUUGCGGCCACUGCCCCUUCCUCCACAAGCUCCUUAAACCUCUUUUUAUCGUGCUCCCAGAGGGAGUCCUCAAACUUGGGGAGGGAUCCCCAGAGAUUAAACUCGUAGCCACCCAGGACAGCCUGAUGGUUUG